AAGACCUUGCGCUUUUGGAGCGGCCGAUGCCUGAUUAGCUUGUUGGUGAGGUAAAAGCUCACCAAGGCUUCGAUCAGUAGCUGGUCUGAGAGGACGACCAGCCACACUGGGACUGAGACACGGCCCAGACUCCUACGGGAGGCAGCAGUGGGGAAUUUUGGACAAUGGGGGCAACCCUGAUCCAGCCAUGCCGCGUGAGUGAAGAAGGCCUUCGGGUUGUAAAGCUCUUUCAGCCGGAACGAAACGGUCACGGCUAAUACCUGUGACUACUGACGGUACCGGAAGAAGAAGCACCGGCUAACUACGUGCCAGCAGCCGCGGUAAUACGUAGGGUGCGAGCGUUAAUCGGAAUUACUGGGCGUAAAGCGUGCGCAGGUGGUUUUGUAAGUCAGAUGUGAAAUCCCCGGGCUUAACCUGGGAACU
rnacentral:rRNA from 1 species